UAGGGAAUCUUCCGCAAUGGACGCAAGUCUGACGGAGCAACGCCGCGUGAGUGAAGAAGGCUUUCGGUUCGUAAAACUCUGUUGUUAGAGAAGAACAGCGCAUAGAGUAACUGUUAUGCGUGUGACGGUAUCUAACCAGAAAGCCACGGCUAACUACGUGCCAGCAGCCGCGGUAAUACGUAGGUGGCAAGCGUUGUCCGGAUUUAUUGGGCGUAAAGCGAGCGCAGGCGGUCAAUUAAGUCUGAUGUGAAAGCCCCCGGCUCAACCGGGGAGGGUCAUUGGAAACUGGUUGACUUGAGUGCAGAAGAGGAGAGUGGAAUUCCAUGUGUAGGGGUGAAAUGCGUAGAUAUAUGGGGGAACACCAGUGGCGAAGGCGACUCUCUGGUCUGUAACUGACGCUGGGGCUCGAAAGCGUGGGUAGCAAACAGG
rnacentral:rRNA from 1 species